rnacentral:rRNA from 1 species
UUUUCAUACCGAAAACUUUUGAUUUUAGUUUGAGGUUGAUUUUUAGUUCAUUUCCUUGUCAGGUAGAUUUGUUUAAAUUUCUUCUAUGCUGUGAUAAAUUAUCCGUAAAUGUUUAUAUCUGUGUGAUGGCGUUAAAUUAUCAAUUUAUCUCGUAGGCGAAGAUGUCUAUGGGCAAGAAAUAUUCCUAGUAUUUUGUUGUUACCUAAGGGUUAAAGUUACCCUUUUGUUAUAAGUAUGUUAUAAUUUUUUUAUCCAGGGGGUUGGAAUUUUUACAACCGCCGUCAUUCUCUAAUUUUUAGUCGUGUAUUAUGGUUAAAUUAGUAAUAUUAAUAUGGUUUAUGUUUCUCAGGAACUGCCCGUCUGUUUAUUAAAAACAUUUCCACUUGUGAAUCUUUGGUGGUAUUACCUGCUCUAUGCGUUGGUAAAUGGCCGCAGUAUCUUGACUGUGCGAAGGUAGCAUAAUUAAUUGCCUUAUAAUUGAAGGCUUGUUUGAAUGGUUUGACGAGGUAGUGGUUAACAUGAGUCAUAUGUGUGAACUUAAUACUAGGGGCACAGAAUCCCUUUAGGUUAAUUAGACGGAAAGACCCCGGGAUCUUUGUUUUUUUUUGUCUGGGGCAGAUCAUCGUUUUUCACGGCUGAAUUUGACCCUAAUGGUGCAUUGGUGUAAGUUACCCCGGGGAUAACAGUGUAAUAGCUUAUUAGAGAUCUUAUCGAAUUUGCUGAUUGCCACCUCGAUGUUGACUUAGAUUUAAGUUUGGGCGCAGUAGUCCAAACUUUUGGUCUGUUCGACCUUAGUUUAUCUCCAUGAGUUGAGUUAAGACCGGCGUAA